rnacentral:rRNA from 1 species
CAGAGGGUGCAAGCGUUGUUCGGAAUUAUUGGGCGUAAAGCGCGUGUAGGCGGCUUUGCAAGUCGGGUGUGAAAGCCCACGGCUCAACCGUGGAAGUGCGCCCGAAACUGCAGAGCUUGAGUGUCAAAGAGGAUGGCGGAAUUCCCCAAGUAGAGGUGAAAUUCGUAGAUAUGGGGAGGAACACCGGUGGCGAAGGCGGCCAUCUGGGUGACAACUGACGCUGAGACGCGAAAGCGUGGGUAGCAAACAGGAUUAGAUACCCUGGUAGUCCACGCUGUAAACGAUGAGAACUAGAUGUCGUGGGUGUUGACCCCCGCGGUGUCGUAGCUAACGCAUUAAGUUCUCCGCCUGGGAAGUACGGUCGCAAGAUUA